rnacentral:lncRNA from 1 species
AAUACUUCUACUUUAACAGGACUUCUAGUGUUUAAAUUCCAUCUCUAAUCAGAAACCCAGACCAUUUUGAGAUCAUAAAUCUCAUCAUUCUGUCAAUUCACUAUCUUCUGAGGAUUUCACAUUCAAUUUUUAGUUAGUUCCUAUUAUUUUUUUAAAAAGUGUCUACUUAAGGAGCAAUGGAAUCUGUUCCCGUAUAUGUUAAACCCAGUGGUGCUGGUUCUGUUUCCUGAGCCUACUGAAUCAGUCUGAUCUCUCUUUCAUUUGACAGACCCCGCCCAUGUCAUUGACUGAACUAGCUAACUCACUCCAAUUAUCUCAAGCAUUUUUCAAUUUGUCUUGGAUUUGAGUGUCCUUGUCAUUCUGGUUGAAAAGCUAUGAAUGAAUAUGCUUGUUUCAAUGUGAGACCUGCCAUCAUCUCUCAAGAUGUGUGGCAUCUUCAGUUCACUGGCUUCACUAUAAAAUCUCUGCACACAAGACAAACGCAUUUGAACCAUUCUUAGAGCAGCUCAACUUCUUUCUACAAUACCAUUCAACGCUCACAAAAGCACCACUUAUGGUGCAAAAGAAAUACAGACUCUGGCACCUGUCUUACCCAAAUACGCAAGUUAUUAAAGGGGAAAAAAUUCAGUGGCACAGUUCUCUGCUAUGACGGCAGGCAGUCAACUGUUUCUUGAAUGAGUAAACUUGGUAUUUGAUUAACUCACUGUAUGAGUGUUAUAGAAAAUAGAUGCCGUGAGCAGGGAUUCUGGCAACAAGGCUACCUGCUCCUUUCUGUCUACUCCCAUUCCAAGCUAUUUGACUCUGUUGACCUUGGAACUCAUGGACAACUGGCAUAACUGGUAUCUGGCAUCUGGGAGAAAAGGAUCAUUGCUGGGGGAAAGGAACAUAAAGAGUUAGAUCCUAGCAUGACCCUAGCUUUCAGAGAUUCCUGGACCCACAGGAAGAAGGUUGACAACAUUAAAUCUUCUAGACUUAUCUUAUAAUUCUUUUAUUUUUUCUUCAUGAUUGCUAUCUUUUUAUAUAUUUGGAACACAUAAGGAGGUUGACAUCAUUCUGAGUGAGGAUGCAAGUUGCCCCUAGAAGAUCGAGAAGGAGAGGAGUG